CUGUGGUGAGCAUUGAUGCCACUCACUUGUAUGGCAAAUACGAAGGCCAUGCAUUGAUAGCGACGGCUGUCGAUGCGAAUGAUAGCAUUUUCCCCUUGACUUUUGCAAUUUGCGAAGGCGAAAAUGGUAGAAGUUGGCGUUGGUUUUUACAUAACUUGGGGCAUUAUGUUAUACGCAAUCGACCGGAUUGUUUUAUAUCCGAUAGAUUUAGUGGCUUAAAGAAAAUAGUGGCUGAGUUAUAUCUCACUCGAUAAGGGCAUGCACACCGGUGGUGUCUUCGACACAUGAAAGCAAAUAUGGC
rnacentral:lncRNA from 1 species